rnacentral:piRNA from 2 species
GGGGGAUGUAGCUCAGUGGUAGA